AAGCGUUACAGCUCUUAAAAUCUGUCCAGCAGGUUUUCCAGUCCUUACCAGAAAGUCCCU
rnacentral:snRNA from 1 species